rnacentral:misc_RNA from 1 species
GCUCUUGAAUGGGAAUUCCGUCGACCCCACUGAUAGGAGGCAGAGGACUCAAGUAAAUGGCAAGAUUCCCGAAGAUGGGAACGCUGUCCAUGUUAAUACCACGAUGAAUGGGGCUUAAGCACAAACAACAGAACUGCUUAUGUGGAGGAUUGUUUAUUUCUUACAAUGUAGACUAAUGGCUUUCCUUGCGUGUGGUUGGCUCCUUUUCCCAAGACUGGUAAUCUGUUAUAUAUCCUAUCUUAUUG